CAGUUUCUUGGCAGGACAGAUCUUGCUGAAGUAGAACUUCUGCCCUGGGUGUGCCACAUUGCCCUAGAGCUGAAAGGCACACGUGCAGGCUUCUUAACAAAGGGCGAGUUGUGCCCCAGAGCAUCUUGCUUCCAGCUGUUUGGGAAGCUAAGAAACAACUCGCUCUGCACAGUGCUCUUACAUCCUACCGGGAACUUCUCUUACAAAGGCCUGUGAAACGCAGUUUGUUUGCAGGCCUGAUCUGGCUGAAGUAGAACUUCUGCUCUGGGUGUGCCACAUUGCCCUAUAGCUGAAAGCUGCAACGUGCAGCCUCCUUUCCAAAGGGCGAGUUGGGCCCCAGAGCAUCUUGCUUCCAGCUCUUUGGGAAGCUACGAAACAAGUCGCUCUGCACACUGCUCUUACAGCCUACCGGGAACAUCUCUUACAAAGGACUGUGAAACGCAGUUUCUUUGCAGGCCUGAUGUGGCUGAAGUAGCACUUUUGCUCUGGGUGUGCCACAUUGACCUAGAGCUGAAAGGCACAACGUGCAGGCUUCUUAACAAAGGGCGAGAUGGGCCCCAGAGCAUCUUGCUUCCAGCUCUUUGGGAAGAUAAGAAACAACUCGCUCUCGCAGUGCUCUUACAGCCUCCAGGGAACAUCUCUUACAAAGCCGUGUGAAACGCAGUUUCUUUGCAGGCCUGAUCUGGCUGAAGUUGAACUUCUGCCCUGGGUGUGCAAAUUUGCCCUAGAGCUGAAAGGCACAACGUGCAGGCUUCUUAACAAAGGGCGAGUUGGGCGCCAGAUCAUCUUGCUUCCAGCUCUUUGGGAAGCUAGGAAACACCUCGCCCUGCACAGUGCUCUUACAGCCUACUGGUAACAUCUCUUACAAUGGCCUGUUAAACGCAGUUUCUUUGCAGGGCUGAUCUGGCUGAAGUUGAACUUCUGCUCUGGGUGUGCCACAUUGCCCAGAACUGAAAGGCACAACGUGCAGGCUUCUUAACAAAGGGCCAAGUGGGACCCAGAGCAUCUUGCUUCCAGCUAUUUAGGAAGCUAGGAAACAUCUCGCUCUGCCCAGUGCUCUUACAGACUACCGGGAACAUCUUUUACAAAGGCCUGUGAAACCCAGUUUCUUGGCAGGACAGAUCUUGCUGAAGUAGAACUUCUGCCCUGGGUGUGCCACAUUGCCCUAGAGCUGAAAGGCACACGUGCAGGCUUCUUAACAAAGGGCGAGUUGGGCCCCAGAGCAUCUUGCUUCCAGCUCUUUGGGAAGCUAAGAAACAACUCGCUCUGCACAGUGCUCUUACAUCCUACCUUGAACUUCUCUUACAAAGGCCUGUGAAACGCAGUUUGUUUGCAGGGCUGAUCUGGCUGAAGUAGAACUUCUGCCCUGGGUGUGCCACAUUGCCCUAGAGCUGAAAGGCACAACGUGCAGGCUCCUUAACAAAGGGCGAGUUGGGCCCCAGAGCAUCUUGCUUCCAGCUCUUUGGAAAGCUAAGAAACAACUCACUCUGCACAGUGCUCUUACAGCUUACCGGGAACAUCUCUUACAAAGGCCUGUGAAACGUAGUUUCGUUGCAGGCCUGAUCUGGCUGAAGUAGAACUUCUGCCCUGGGUGUCCCACAUUGCCCUAGAGCUGAAAGGCACAACGUGCAUUCUCCUCUCCAAAGGGCAAGUUCGGCCCCAGAGCAUCUUGCUUCCAGCUCUUUGGGAAGCUAAGAAACAACUCGCUCUGCACAGUGCUCUUACAGCCUACCGGGCACAUCUCUUACAAAUGCCUGUGAAACGCUGUUUCUUUGCAGGCCAGAUCUGGGUGAAGUAGAACUUCUGCCCUGGGUGUGCCACAUUGCCCUAGAGCUGAAAGGCACAACGUGCAGGCUUCUUAACAAAGGGCGAGUUGGGCCCCAGAGCAUCUUGCUUCCACCUCUUUGGGAAGCUAAGAAACAACUCGCUCUGCACAGUGCUCUUAGAGCCUACCGGGAACAUCUCUUACAAAGGCUUGUUAAACGCAGUUUCUUUGCAGGCCUGAUCUGGCUGAAGUAGAACUUCUGCCCUGGGUGUGCAACAUUGCCCUAGAGCUAAAAGGCACAACGUGCAGGCUUCUUAACAAAGGGCGAGUUGGGCCCAGAGCAAAUUGCUUCCAGCUCUUUGGGAAGCUAAGAAACAACUCGCUCUGCACACUGCUCUUACAGCCUACCGGGAACAUCUCUUACAGGGGACUGUGAAACGCAGUUUCUUUGCAGGCCUGAUCUGGCUGCAGCAUAACUUCUGCUCUGGGUGUGCUACAUUGCCCUACAGCUGAAAGGCACAACGUACAGUCUUCUUUCCGAAGGGCGAGUUGGGCCUAAAGCAUCUUGCUUCCAGCUCUUUGGGAAGCUAAGAAACAGCUCUCUCUGCAGACCUCUCUUACAGCCAACUGGGAACAUCUCUUACAAAUGCCUGAGAAAUGCAGUUUCUUUGCAGGCCUGAUCUGGCUGAAGUAGAACUUCUGCUCUGGGUGUGCUACAUUGCCCUACAGCUGCAAGGCACAAAGUGCUGUCUUCUUUCCAAAGGGGAGUUGGUAUCCAAAUCAUCUUUCUUCCAGCUCUUUGGGAAGCUAAGAUACAACUCGCUCUGCACAGUGCUCUUACAGCCUACCGGGAACAUCUCUUACAAAGGCCUGUGAAACACAGUUUCAUUGCAGGCCUGAUCUGGCUGAAGUAGAACUUCUGCCCUGGGUGUGCCACAUUGCCCUAGAGCUGAAAGGCACAACGUGCAGGCUUCUUAACAAAGGGCGAGUUGGGCCCCAGUGCAUCUUGCUUCCAGCUCUUUGGGAAGCUAAGAAACAACUCGCUCUGCACAGUGCUCUUACAGCCAACCGGCAACAUCUCUUACAGUGGCCUGUGAAACGCAGUUUCUUUGCAGGCCUGAUCUGGGUGAAGUAGAACUUCUGAUCUGGGUGUGCCACUUUGCCCUAUAGCUGAAAGCUACAACGUGCAGUCUUCUUUCGAAAUGGCGAGUUGGGGCCCAGAGCAUCUUCCUCCAGCUCUUUGGGAAGCUAAGAAGCAACUCUAUCGGCACAGUGCUCUUACAGCCCACUGGGAACAUCUCUUACAAAGGCCUGUGAAACGCAGUUUCUUAACAGGCCUCAUCUGGCUGAAGUAGAACUUCUGCCCUGGGUGUGCCACAUUGCACAGUGCUGAAAGGCACAACGUGCAGUCUUCUUUCCAAAGGGCGAUUGGGACCCGGAGCAUCUUGCUUCCACCUCUUUGGGAAGCUAAGAAGCAACUCUUUCAGCACAGUGCUCUUACAGCCCACCGGGAACAUCUCUUACAAAGGCCUGUGAAACGCAAUUUCUUUGCAGGCCUGAUCUGGCUGAAGUAGAACUUCUGUUACGGGUCUGCUACAUUCCCCUAUAGCUGCAAGGCACGACUUGCUGCCUUGUGUGCAAAGGAGGGUUUAACCUCCAAAGCAUCAUGCUUCAACGUGUUUUGGAAGCUAAGAAACAACUCGCUCUGCACAGUGGUCUUACAGCCUACCGGGAACAUCUCUUACAAAGGCGUGUGAAACGCAGUUUCUUUGCAGGCCGGAUCUGGCUGAAG
ensembl:lncRNA